rnacentral:rRNA from 1 species
AGCGAACGCUGGCGGCAGGCCUAACACAUGCAAGUCGAACGAACUCUUCGGAGUUAGUGGCGGACGGGUGAGUAACACGUGGGAACGUGCCUUUUGGUUCGGAAUAACUCAGGGAAACUUGUGCUAAUACCGAAUGUGCCCUUCGGGGGAAAGAUUUAUCGCCAUUAGAGCGGCCCGCGUCUGAUUAGCUAGUUGGUGAGGUAACGGCUCACCAAGGCGACGAUCAGUAGCUGGUCUGAGAGGAUGACCAGCCACACUGGGACUGAGACACGGCCCAGGCUCCUACGGGAGGCAGCAGUGGGGAAUCUUGCGCAAUGGGCGAAAGCCUGACGCAGCCAUGCCGCGUGAAUGAUGAAGGUCUUAGGAUUGUAAAAUUCUUUCACCGGGGACGAUAAUGACGGUACCCGGAGAAGAAGCCCCGGCUAACUUCGUGC